UACAGAGGGGCAAGCGUUAUUCGGAAUUAUUGGGCGUAAAGGGCGCGUAGGCGGCCUGGCAAGUGGAUGGUGAAAUCCCUCGGCUUAACCGAGGAACUGCCAUCCAGACUGCUUGGCUUGAGACCGGGAGAGGUGAGUGGAAUUCCCAGUGUAGCGGUGAAAUGCGUAGAUAUUGGGAGGAACACCAGUGGCGAAGGCGGCUCAUCGGUGCCGUUCUGACGCUGAGUGCGAAAG
rnacentral:rRNA from 1 species